rnacentral:rRNA from 1 species
UACGAAGGGGGCUAGCGUUGUUCGGAAUCACUGGGCGUAAAGCGCACGUAGGCGGAUCUUUAAGUCAGGGGUGAAAUCCCGAGGCUCAACCUCGGAACUGCCUUUGAUACUGGCGAUCUUGAGUCCGGGAGAGGUGAGUGGAACUGCGAGUGUAGAGGUGAAAUUCGUAGAUAUUAGGAAGAACACCAGUGGCGAAGGCGGCUCACUGGCCCGGUACUGACGCUGAGGCGCGAAAGCGUGGGGAGCAAACAGG